ensembl:snoRNA Gm25761 predicted gene, 25761
UCUGCCUCUAGAGGGGUUACAGGUGGCUAUCGUGUCACGUGCCCAUCAGUGAGUGGCAGAGAGGAGAAGGCUGUGCCUAUGUUCAGUGUUCUGAUCUGUGAACAUCUGAGUAGUUAGGAGUCUAAAGU